AGCUGCACAUGCCAAACUUUUUGGUGCCCGUCUCCAUACAUCGCCGCAUCAUGAGACGGUAACGAGGCUCAAAGAUGUGCAGCGGACAUGGGAUGCCAGGUUCAUCAUCAUCCUCAGCCGUGGGGAGGAAGGACACAGCCUGACACAGGCUCAGACAGCACUCGCCGCUGGUGCCGUGCUUCACUUUAGUUGCAUUCUAGGACGGAACAGGAAAGACCUGAGAUGUUAUUACACAACAUCAUUAGUGCUGUGCAUAAACACCUCACCUGCGCGGGAUCACUUUGACCUUCAGCGUUGUUGUGGGCAUAGCGCUGACCAUCUGGACAUGAGGGGCUAACAGAGCUGGUGAUAGGACAGGGCUCUUGCAAGUACUCUGACACAACAUGCAGGAUCCGUGGAACUUCUUCUGGUACAGCCAUGCCCUCUGCUUCCAGGAUCUGUAUACAAAUCAGUGUGUGUAUCAAUGAAACAUUCAUUUAUGUUUUUAAGCAGAACAUGCUCUCUUGACACUGAAUCACUCAAAAUGAUUCUAUAAGGGGCAAAAUCAGGAUGCUGCUUCAGGCAAUGAUAAAACUGGAUGAGGGCUUCGGUCUGUCUGCCCAUUUCAAGAAGUACAUUCCCUUUACGAAAGAAACCCUACAAAACAGAAUUCAAACACAAAUUGUUAUCACAGG